UACAGAGGGGGCAAGCGUUGUUCGGAAUUACUGGGCGUAAAGGGCGCGUAGGCGGCCGCCUAAGUCAGACGUGAAAUCGCUCGGCUCAACUGGGCGGGGUCAGCGGAUACGGCGUGGCUGGAGCAAGCUAGGGGGCAAUGGAAUUCCCGGUGUAGUGGUGGAAUGCGUAGAUAUCGGGAGGAACACCAGUGGCGAAGGCGGUUGCCUGGAGCUUUGCUGACGCUGAUGCGCGAAAGCGUGGG
rnacentral:rRNA from 1 species